rnacentral:rRNA from 1 species
AUGCGUCCAAACCUGACUGAAUUGAAAGGUUGUAUUUAUUAGAUACGAAGCCAAUACCCUCUCGGGGGUGUUGUGGUGAGUCAUAGUAACUGAUCGAAUCUCUCACCUGAGAGAUAAAUCAUUCAAGUUUCUGCUCUAUCAGCUUUCGAUGGUAGUGUAUUGGACUACCAUGGCAGUCACGGGUAACGGAGAAUUAGGGUUCGAUUCCGGAGAGGGAGCCUGAGAAACGGCUACCACAUCUAAGGAAGGCAGCAGGCGCGUAAAUUACCCAAUCCUGACUCAGGGAGGUAGUGACAAGAAAUAACAACCCGUGGGAUUCACAUCCUUACGGGAUUGCAAUGAGAACAAUUUAAAUCACUUAACGAGGAUCAAUUGGAGGGCAAGUCUGGUGCCAGCAGCCGCGGUAAUUCCAGCUCCAAUAGUGUAUAUUAAAGUUGUUGCAGUUAAAAAGCUCGUAGUUGAACUUCUGACAGUGUGCAAUUUUGGUUUCGUAUCAGGCUGCAUUGCUGUUAUCCGUCUGCAAACUCUGUUCAAUCUUCGCUGGUUGGCAGGGGGAGUAGACAUUUUACUUUGAAAAAAUUAGAGUGUUUCAAGCAGGUUAUUGCCAGAAUACUUUAGCAUGGAAUAAUGGAAUAGGACUCUUGUCCAUUUGGUUGGUUAUUGGACCAGAGUAAUGAUUAACAGGGACAGUUGGGGGCAUUAGUAUUUAAUUGUCAGAGGUGAAAUUCAUGGAUUUAUUAAAGACUAACUUAUGCGAAAGCAUUUGCCAAGGAUGUUUUCAUUAAUCAAGAACGAAAGUUAGGGGAUCAAAGACGAUCAGAUACCGUCCUAGUCUUAACUAUAAACGAUGUCGACUCGGGAUUGGAAAGGUUUCCAAUUAUCCUUUCCAGCACCGUAUGAGAAAUCAUUAAGUCUUUGGAUUCUGGGGGGUGUAUGGUCGCAAGGCUGAAACUUAAAGGAAUUGACGGAAGAGCACCACCAGGCGUGGACCUGCGGCUUAAUUUGACCCAACACGGGAAAACUUAUUUCAGCAAAACAUGAGUGGGAUUGACAGAUUGAGAGCUCUUUCUUGAUUUUAUGGGGUGUGGUGCAUGGCCGUUCUUAGUUGGUGGAGUGAUUUGUCUGGUUAAUUCCGUUAACGAACGAGACCUUAACCUGCUAACUAGUCAGUGUGUUAACCUACGCUCUGUACUUCUUAGAGGGACUAUGGGUAAUAAGCCCAUGGAAGUUUGAGGCAAUAACAGGUCUGUGAUGCCCAUAGAUGUUGAAAGCGGCACGCGCGUCAUACUGUCCAGUAACAGCAAGUUUUACCUCCUCUACCGGAAGGUUAGGGGUAAUCUAUA